rfam:Scleropages formosus scaffold1031, whole genome shotgun sequence.
GCCUUGUUGGUCUAGGGGUAUGACUCUUGCUUUGGGUGUAAGAGGUCCUGGGUUCAAAUCCCAGGUGAGCCC